rnacentral:miRNA from 1 species
UUCUCAAAUUUGAAAGGUACAAGAGGGACAACUUCAAAAAUCAGAUUCCUGGGAUCCUGGUCCCAGAGGAUCAUAUUCAGUGGGAUGGGGCCCAGGAAUCUGCAUUUUACAAGCCCUCCAGG